rnacentral:tRNA from 1 species
GCCAAUGUGGUGAAGUGGUUUGAGCAUUGGACUGUGGCUCUGGAGACCAGGGUUUGAAUCCCUGCUCAGUCA